CUUUCAUACUCUUCCAGAAAAGCUAUUCUUCCUCCACAGUAAAUGACACUUUAUUGUGACAGCCCUUUAUUUAAGCUUAAAUACACAGAAGCCUGUAGUAUAUUCCUUCACAUUCAAGACUCAUAUUGGCCUUGCCUUUCCAUCUCCCACUGUUUUUAAUAUGUUUCUAAUUGUAACAUGCAAUUCAGCAUUGUCAAGUGUUUUUUAGCUACUGCCUUUCAUUACCUUGAGCCUGUUAACACUUCCCAACACUGGGAGAGAGACAAAGGAAUCUGAAAGAAUCUGACAAGAAAGGAUGCUGAAAGAAUGCACCAUAAAGAAGACAUGUAAAAUUCCUAAUAUUCAAAGAACCGUCACCCCCUCGUACCCAGUUACAAUAACAGUAGAAGUGCUUGACUGGACCUAAUAAUUUGUCUUCAUAGCUGAAGCGAUGGCUAUACAAUAAAAGGAAAAAAGCACUUUUCUCUGCUGUGUCAAACCAUUUCAAUAUUAUAUUCAGUACUUUCCAGGCCAAGGAGCGCACUGUGGAAGAUUUAUGUCAUGUUGCAAGGCUAGUGUGCCUUAUUCAUCACACCUUCAUAUUUCAUAAAAGCAGUAUGAUGUGUUUUUCAUUCCAACCUUUAUUCUCUGUUUAUUCUUCCCUGUAUGCUCACUAAAACUAUUUAGAAGUAAGUUUAACACCAUGAGACCUUAUUCUUUGUGUAUUAAAGAGUAAGUGCAACUAUGAACACGGCACUACUUUAGCUUAUUUCUUACUUCACACACCCUGUCUUAAUGUCUUAACAUUCAUUGUUGUAAGACCACUGAAGCUAUUAAGAUGGGAGUUGAAGACCUUGAGCUUCCUUUCUUUAAUUUUAUUUCAUAUGAAUGAAUAAGUACAGCUAUGGUGUUGGGACUACUUUUUUUUUUUUUUUUUUUUACCUAAUAUAAUAUGAACUUGGAUUGUAUUCACAAACAUUUAGAGAAUACUCAAGGGAAGAUCUUGAAAGUUUCCAUAGAGACUCAAAUCUGAUAGGAAACCGGACUUGAAUCUUUUAGAUAUGAUGUUCAGUCAAUUGAGAAAUGCUUGCACAGUGCAUCACUCUCUUUUAUUUCUUUCCUAUUUCAACACCUACCUUACAACCAUUGCCUUACCAACAUUUAUAUAGAUUUUUUUCUCUAAAGAUCAAUCCCCGUGUCUUUUAUGAACUCCUGACCUUUCCUUUUCAAGGCCUCCAUUUGUGGGCUCAAAUGAAUUGCUUUGGCAACUGCUUUAUUGAGUACGGGGUUACACUGAUGCUUGGUGCAAUCAUAGAUUGCAUAUGAAAGAUGGAUGUAGCCACUAUGAUGUUAACCAUUGGUUUCCUAUCUCUAUUUUUGAUUUGGAUAGGCCAAUAAAGCUGCCGUGAGAGGUGAAUGACGCAAAACUCUUCACUGUCCAAUCAAUGGAUGUGAGGAGCUCAGCUGGGGAGGAGCAGAAGCCAUUUUCUCCAAUGAGCCAUUGCC
ensembl:lncRNA